rnacentral:rRNA from 1 species
CUAAGUUUGAUGGCGACCGGCGCACGGGUGAGUAACACGUAUCCAACCUGCCGAUGACUCGGGGAUAGCCUUUCGAAAGAAAGAUUAAUACCCGAUGGCAUAGUUCUUCCGCAUGGUAGAACUAUUAAAGAAUUUCGGUCAUCGAUGGGGAUGCGUUCUAUUAGGUUGUUGGCGGGGUAACGGCCCACCAAGCCUUCGAUGGAUAGGGGUUCUGAGAGGAAGGUCCCCCACAUUGGAACUGAGACACGGUCCAAACUCCUACGGGAGGCAGCAUG